rnacentral:rRNA from 1 species
GACGAACGCUGGCGGCGUGCUUAACACAUGCAAGUCGAACGAUGAAGCCGGAGCUUACGCUGGUGAAUCAGUGGCGAACGGGUGAGUAACACGUGAGUAACCUGCCCUUGACUCUGGGAUAACUGCUAGAAAUGGUAGCUAAUACCGGAUACGACCCUCGGAGGCAUCUCCAGCGGGUGGCAAGAAUUUCGGACAAGGAGGGACUCGCGACCGAUCAGCUAGGUGGUGAGGUAACGGCUCACCAAGGCGACGACGGGUAGCCGGCCUGAGAGGGUGACAGGCCACUCUGGGACUGAGACACGGCCCAGACUCCUACGGGAGGCAGCAGUGGGGAAUAUUGCACAAUGGGCGCAAGCCUGAUGCAGCAACGCCGCGUGAGGGAUGACGGCCUUCGGGUUGUAAACCUCUUUUAGUAGGGAAGAAGCGAAAGUGACGGUACCUGCAGAAAAAGCACCGGCUAACUACGUGCCAGCCGCCGCGGUAA